CCUACGGGUGGCAGCAGUGGGGAAUAUUGCGCAAUGGGCGAAAGCCUGACGCAGCGACGCCGCGUGAGGGAUGAAGGUCUUCGGAUUGUAAACCUCUGUCAGCAGGGAAGAACGGUCACUGUGCUAAUCAGCAGUGAAUUGACGGUACCUUCACAGAAAGCGCUGGCUAACUCCGUGCCAGCAGCCGCGGUAAUACGAAGGGUGCGAGCGUUAAUCGGAAUUAUUGGGCGUAAAGCGGUCGUAGGCGGUAUGUCAAGUCAAGGGUUAAAUCCCCGAGCUCAACGUGGGAACUGCUUUUGAAACUGGCAAACUAGAGUGUGUGAGAGGAUAGCGGAAUUCCAGGUGAAGGGGUGAAAUCCGUAGAUAUCUGGAGGAACAUCAGUGGCGAAGGCGACUAUCUGGCACAAAACUGACGCUGAGGGGCGAAAGCGUGGGGAGCAAACAGGAUUAGAUACCCCAGUAGUC
rnacentral:rRNA from 1 species